CCUUUAAUGUUUGAUGUUCUAACGUUGGCCCGUAAUCCGGGUUGCGGACAGUGUCUGGUGGGUAGUUUGACUGGGGCGGUCUCCUCCUAAAGAGUAACGGAGGAGCACGAAGGUUGGCUAAUCCUGGUCGGACAUCAGGAGGUUAGUGCAAUGGCAUAAGCCAGCUUGACUGCGAGCGUGACGGCGCGAGCAGGUGCGAAAGCAGGUCAUAGUGAUCCGGUGGUUCUGAAUGGAAGGGCCAUCGCUCAACGGAUAAAAGGUACUCCGGGGAUAACAGGCUGAUACCGCCCAAGAGUUCAUAUCGACGGCGGUGUUUGGCACCUCGAUGUCGGCUCAUCACAUCCUGGGGCUGAAGUAGGUCCCAAGGGUAUGGCUGUUCGCCAUUUAAAGUGGUACGCGAGCUGGGUUUAGAACGUCGUGAGACAGUUCGGUCCCUAUCUGCCGUGGGCGCUGGAGAACUGAGGGGGGCUGCUCCUAGUACGAGAGGACCGGAGUGGACGCAUCACUGGUGUUCGGGUUGUCAUGCCAAUGGCACUGCCCGGUAGCUAAAUGCGGAAGAGAUAAGUGCUGAAAGCAUCUAAGCACGAAACUUGCCCCGAGAUGAGUUCUCCCUGAGACUUUAAGUCUCCUGAAGGAACGUUGAAGACGACGACGUUGAUAGGCCGGGUGUGUAAGCGCAGCGAUGCGUUGAGCUAACCGGUACUAAUGAACCGUGAGG
rnacentral:rRNA from 1 species